rnacentral:rRNA from 1 species
AGAGUUUGAUCAUGGCUCAGGAUAAACGCUGGCGGCGUGCCUUAUGCAUGCAAGUCGAACGAGACCAAGGCUUCGGCCUGAAGUCUAGUGGCGGACGGGUGAGUAACACGUACGUGACCUGCCUUCGAGCGGGGGAUAACGUCCCGAAAGGGACGCUAAUACCGCAUAACAUCCUGCCUUUGAAGAGGCGGAGAUCAAAGCUGGGGAUCGUAAGACCCGGCACUUGAAGAGGGGCCCGCGUCUGAUUAGCUAGUUGGUGAGGUAACGGCUCACCAAGGCAACGAUCAGUAUCCGGCCUGAGAGGGCGGACGGACACACUGGGACUGAGACACGGCCCAGACUCCUACGGGAGGCAGCAGUGGGGAAUUGUUCGCAAUGGGCGCAAGCCUGACGACGCAACGCCGCGUGGAGGAUGAAGAUUUUCGGAUCGUAAACUCCUGUCGAAUGGGACGAAAAGAUUGCGGGUUAACGGCCCGCAGUCCUGACGGUACUUAAAGAGCCC